CAUAGCUUCCAAGUGAGUGUUGUGCAAACAUUUGCUAGGAUCUCUCGGGGAGCCUGUUAGAAAAGAAACUCCUGAGCCUGCUCCAGAGCUUCUGUUCAGCAGGCCUGAGGUGGGACCAUACACCUGUCUUUUCAGCAAGCCCCCCCCCACCUCUGAGGAUGCACCCCAAAGCUAGAGAAUUCCUGCUCUGAGCCAUCUCUGAAAGCACCAAGAGCCAGGGCCAGGGAAGCUGGGCUGGAGGAAGCUGUCUGGGAGCCCAGGAGGCAAGCAGAAAACCGCCAGGACCGCCCCACGCUGGGGGAGCAGCAGGCACGGCCCCUACCAACACCCCCUGGCACCUCGCAAAGCUAGAGCCCGCCCGGUCCCCUCCCCGGAGCGCCCUGGUCUUUGGUUCGUAUUCAGCACAUCUUCAGAAACAGUGAUAGAAAAAUGCUGGUUUCUGACUCCACCAGCUCACGGAGGAGAUGCCAGCUCACGGAGGAAAAUCUGGAAGGUGUUGAAGCAUAGACGCUGGAACAUAAAAUGACUCAUGAUCUCACUGGGAGAAGGGCUGGGAACAUCGUGGGCUCUCUUCUCCCCGCGCUCCUCUCUCCGGGUCUCUGUUUCCCUCAUUCCACGAUGUUUAGAACCAUCGGCGCACUACAUCAGACUAGAGGUCUGGGGUCACCCGACCAUCCCGCCACAAGCCCCUCCGAGGCAUCACUGUGUCCAGAUUUUGCAAACUGCACCUCCUGAAGGGGCUGGGGUCUGUCCACUUCGCCCCAUCUGCCGUGGCAGCACUUCCUCCGUGGUUCGCACCCCCACAGCAGCCUCCUGGGAAGGCACCUCCCUGGGGCCCCUCUCAGUCCACGGUGUGGAUAUGGUGAGUUCUUAAACCAUGAACUUCUGAUUUCACAGCUCUGCUUGAAGCCUUCAAUGUCAGGCUUCCUGUUGCUCUUAAGAUAAUGAUCAAAACUCUCAACAAAGUUCCCCUGAUAAAUGCUCUCAACGUGCCCCCCACCACAGCAUCCCUAACUGUAAUGAAUACAUCAUUGGUCCUCACGGCAGCGGAUUAAUCGUCUGUGAGUGUUGGUUUAAUCUUUCUCUUCUGGAGUUUAGCUGUCACUGCCAUAUCCCCAGCACGGAGCACAAUGACAUGUUUAUAUGUAGAAAAUUGAGCGAAAAAUAAAAACAGCUAACAUUUGGGUACUUAUUAUCUUCCAGGCAGCAAGCUAUGCAUUUUGCAUAUAUUAGCAAAUCCAUGAGGCAGGUGCUGUCUUCAUUGUACAGGUGAGGAGCCUGAAGCUCAGAGAGGUGAAGGAACAUCCUCAAGGCCACGCUCUGAAAUCAACAAAAGAUACAUCAGUUUAUUGUGGGAAACAUCAGAACAUGCAGAGAUAUUAACAAAGAGAAGUCACUCAGAGAUGACUGUCAUUAACAUUUUGGUGUAUUUCUUCGUAGACAUUUUCCUAUGUCUCUGCAUAGUAACAUACUGUCCAGAGUGCUUGUAAUCUGCUAGACGGUUUGAUGAGACCAAGUUUUCAUGGUAUUAGCCACGGCAAUAUUUGUAUUCAUAUUUUAGGGUAUGGCUGAACUGAAAUUUGCUUUUGCUCAACUCAGCCCCUCUUGUGAACAUUAGGCACUUUGCACUUCACCUGCUGAAAACGUGGUAGUCAUAAACACGCUGGUAGCUCAAUCGUCCCACCUAUCUUUACUAUGUUAUUCAUUCCUAGCAGUGGGGCCUGGGUCAAAAGUUCUGCAGGGUUUUAAGGCUUUGGAUCAGUGGUUCGGGAUUGUCCUCUGGGACGGGCUGAGAAGCACACAUGCCUGCCGGUGGUGACAAGCAUUCCUUCCUAGUGCAGAGUCAGGUCUGCACCUGGCACCCCCUACCCAUCCAGGUUGGGUCCCUGGCAUUCAGUUAUGUGGAACAGACCAGAAAAAUUAAAAAAGAACCCCCUCCCGCAUCUUCCCCGAAGGACCACUGGCCUGCUGUCUCUCCCCGCACUCCCCCACUGGAGUUCAUACCCACUGAAUCACGACCCCCUUGUGGCUAAGCCCUGGUGCGCCACCCUGCAAAAUCAAAGGUGGUGUCUAGGCACAGAAAUGGCUCCGUGACCUAUGUCCCCUUUGUUCUAAUCUAGAAUCCAGCCAGGAGUAUGCGUGUCAGAAGCCAGGGGUGAUUGUGUUUUUUCUCCUUCCUCUUUCUUUAGGUCAGGAAGAUUCCUGCAGCUGCUGAGUUAGUACUUUUAAGAAAGUACUGGAUUCCCUCUCACAAUGGGACUUUGAUUUUUUUAAGAAAAAGGUUUCAUAAGUUUUCAAAUAACCUGGAGCAGUUGAGCAAACUUAAUGUGCAGCGUGGUCCCUGCUGGCUGGGUUUGAGGGGCUGGGUCUCUCUGAGUGGAUGCUGGUGAGGUGCAGAGGAAGAAGAAAAGGUGCCUGAGGGCCUGUGUGGAAGGCCUGUCACACAGCACAUCCUGGGAAAUCUGUCCAGGAAGCAGCCAGGCGGGCAUCAGCCAGGCGGGCAUCAGCAUCUUCACUGUGCAGAUGAGAAACUGAGGCCGCAGAGGUGAAGGGACAUGCCCAGGAUCACUAAGGCAAGACGGGGGAAGAGCAGAGAUCUUGGGCAUGAUCUCGGCUCACUGCAACCUCCACCUCCCAGGUUCAAGGGAUUCUCCUGCUUCAGCCUCCCAAGGAGCUGGGAUUACAGGUGCCCGCCACCACGCCCGGCUAAUUUUUGUAUGUUUAGUAGAGACAGGGUUUCACCAUGUUGGCCAGGCUGGUCUCGAAUUCCUGAUCUCAAGUGAUCCGCCUUGCUCUGUCCCUUAGGGACCUCAGCUUAGUGUUCCACACACUGGCAGAUCGCCUCGUUCUUCUCAGGGCUCAGUGUUUUCCUGAGUCUGAACCACGAUCUGGGUAGCCAUCCCCUGGCGAGGACCAUUCGGGGUUCCAGCAGUCACAUGCCACGGUAAACAAGCUUCGUAAACAUCCCACGACAAAGGUGGGAGAGAAUCCCAGUAGGGACAAUGACUACAGGUGGAAUUGCUGGGAAAAAGUAUGUCGGUUUUAAGUGUUGAUAACUGGUCCUUUAUUGGUCGUGGUCAUUCAUUCUUCUGCCAGGCGGGGCUGGUGUUCCUAUAUCCUCUCCUCACCAACAGAGCGUCUUAUGUUUAUUUGUUGGCAACGUGGCAGGUGAAACAUGUACCCUGUCAUUAAAAAAAAUUAUACUUGGCUGGGCACGGUGGCUCACACCUGUAAUCCCAGAGCUUGGGAAGCUGAGGUGGGUGGAUUGCUUGAGGCCCGGAGCUCGAGGCUAGCUUGGGCAGCACAACGAGACCCUGUUUCUACAAAAAAUACAAAAAUUAGUGGGGUGUAGUAGUGCACGCCUGUAGUCCCAGCUACUGGGGAGGCUGAGGUGGGAGGAUCACUUGAGCCUGUCUCAGAACAAACAAACAAACAAACAAAAAUAAGAAAAAAAUACAUAGUUUUAAAACAGUUUUAAACACAUUUGGGAAAAUAUAGGCAGUAGAAAUAGCAGUUGUGCUGUUAAUGCCUCAGACAGGGCUGGGCUCGUAGUAGGUGCUCAAUAAAUAUGUAUUAAGUAAGUGAAUAAGGAAGAAAAUCCCAUGGCUCUGCCAACAAGAAACACUUCUGUCAACAUUUCACUGUGUUUGUUUUCCUGAGUAUUUUUUCCUCUACAUAAUUUAGCUUUGUUUUCCAUUCAUUAUGCUCACCCGUGCAGACACAGUUUUUAAUCUUGUUUCUUUUUUUUCACUUCACGUUGUUGACAUGUGUGUUUCUCUCUUCUAAGCAGCGUUUCAGCAUCUCUAUAAAACCCUCACAGGUAUGUGAACCAUAGAUCAUUUGAAUCGUCUAUUGUGCUUUUAGGCUGUUUUCAAUUUUUCUUUUUAUAAAUGAUGCAGCAGAGUAUCUUUAUGCAGAGACCGUUUCCAUACUUCCCCCUGUGCAGAAGGAAAAGUAGGCAUGUCUGAGGGACCAUGCUCAGGCCUGGGCAGACAGCAGAGACCCAAGGAAAGAACAGAACUUGGGCUCUGGGGCCAAAUCGUGGCUCGGCCACUUGGCAGGCUCUUCACCUGUAACGUGUUGAGAAAGUGACGUAAAGUCAGAGCCAGGAGUGGGCAUCCUGAGUGCUCAGCUGCCAUUGCUGGGACUCAUAAUCGCAAGGGAAGGCAGAGACAGAAGUGAGGGUUCCUAAGUGGAAGGUACUCAUAAAGCCUUGGCUGAAUACGUAUGGCUGACACAGGGGUGUCUGUGUUUGCCACCAAAGGGUGGCCCUGGGCUGGGAUUACACACGGAGAGAAGGCGGGAGGAAAGUCAGGGAGCCUCAGACCAUUGGAGGCUGCAUCUAUUGACCUCUGAUCCCCACAGGCAUGGGUGUGGGUGUGGGUGUGGGUGUGGCUGGCUCAAGGGUCAGUGCCCACCAGAGAACUGGACCAUAGAUGAGCUGGACUUUUCCAACCCUGCCAGCCUGGGCCAUCUCAAGGGUGCUAUUGGUUGUGAGGGGAGGAGGCCCUCUUUUCUGAGUCCCUCCCCAGAUGAGUGCAAGCUGGGACACAUAUACGAGAAGGAUCCUAAUAACAUGCAUGCCAAAAUCCUGCUGUCCCAGCCUUUGGUUCCAGCAGUUUGACUUCUGGAAGUCUUUCCCAAGGAAAUAACCUUGAACCCACGGUGUCUGCUGUAGCAUUCUUCAUAAGAGUGACUGCAAACAACCUCUAAGCCCCAAAUCAUGUAUUGGUUAAAAAAAUAAUGAUUCCUUUUCUUGCUUUAACUCAGGUGAUCCCUAGAAACACAGCCAGUGGCCCGGAAGCUGCACUGUUUUGUGCACCGCAGGGAUGGGCACAGAUGGGGCUGCCUGCCCUCCUCCUGGAAGGAGGGAGAACCCAGUCUGGCCUGGAGUGGUCAAGAGCUAACUCUAGACUCAGCAAGACCUACUUCUCUCUCCUGCCCCUACUUCCUUGCUGCUGACCUGGGCAAGUCGCUGAAGCCUCUCCGUGCCUCAGUCUGCUCGUGCGUAAGAUGGGCACAGGGCACACUGCCUACUUGAUUGGGCUCAACCACGUGCAGUAAGUAGCUGGUGUCUGGCAAGAGCCCUCAGGAAACAGUAACCCCAUUAAUUCAAAUGCACGUGCCUGGAACAGGCUCUGGGGGGCCAGCCCGGGAGUCCCACUCCAUGAUGGCCACCCUGGGGCCUGGCAGGCUGGGCUGGCAUCCCAGGCCCACCGGAUACUGGCUGUGCACCCCGGCCAGGCCACACAUCUCUGAGCCUCACUUUCCCGUGUGUGAGAUGAGGCUAGAAGCUGCUUUCUCUUGCGUGUGUGGGGAUUGGCGGUGACAACACGGCCAGGAGCCCAGGCCCAGCCUACGCGAGCAGCCUCGCUCCAGGCCACACGCCCCACUCCUGACAGCUCUGUGCAGCGAGUUCGUGCGCGAGCGGGUGGCUGUCUGCCAGGCGAGGGGCGCGGGUGCCCAAGAGGGCUUCACUGCUUCUGGAAAGAUCACAAGGAAAAACCACCUCCGCGGCGGGACGCUACCCGCGGGCCGCUGCGGUCCCGCUCGCGGCCGGCAGGGGGCAGGAUGUCCCCGCGAGUCGCCCGUGUCUUCGGGUGUCCUCAGGUCACCCCGCACCGCUCGCAGCCUCCGCGCCUAGUUAAAGGGCGACGCACUCAUUUCUGCAAAGAAGGAGCCCAGCGGCCCCUCCCCGGGGAACUCUUUCCAUCAACUCGGGGCCUAAUAAUUUACAUUUAAUUUGUUAGCGGUUUAAUGUUUAAUUUUAAAAGCGAGAUGAUUCAUUACCAUAUUAAUAAAUAAUAACAUUUAUUAUUCUCCUAAUGAGUGUCCAAAAUACAGAAGCAAUUACAUGUUUUAUAUAUUUUCUCGUAAUUUGAGACACCAGAGCGUUAAUUACAGAGACUCACGCGUGGACCCCAUUCUGAUCCAGGGUCCUGAUCCUGCCUUUGUUUCGGUCUCUGAACCAGCCGCCCUCCGGGGCUUCUGCAAUUCCCUCAAUUAGAGGAGAGGAAGUCGUACGUGACGAAGCUGGGGCUCUCACAGAACCCCGGCGCCCCAGACCCAGGAGCUGCAAGACCUCAGCUCCCCGUGCCCACACUCGGAGACCCAGGCCCCUCCCAGUCCCCCGUCUCCUCUGUGCAGGGUUCUUCAGGAAGAAUCGGAAAGAGGCCCCCCGACCCACAACCAGCCUCGCAUUCCCUCCUCCCGCAGGGAUCCAUUGAGCUGGGGGGUGGGACUAUCCUCACUUCACAGAUGGGGAAACUGAGUCCUGGAGAGAGACGCUCCGGUGUCCUCAGCUGGUGAGGGGCAGAUCCGGGAGCCACGUCCCACGCAGUCGGUUGGCCCCAAGCUUGGUUCCUGCCUCAACCCCAGCGCAGGUUGCAGCAGGCCCGCGUAGGAGGGCGGCCUGGGUCUGGACAGAUCCACAGCCGGCCAACGCCCCUGGCUAGCUCUCUAUGGCUUUGCUUCUUCUCUUGACUUGCCAAGUUCUUCUUGUUCAUUGUAGAAAAUGUGGAAGGUGAGGCCGGGAGCGGUGGCUCACGCCUGUAAUCCUAGCACUUUGGGAGGCCGAGGCGGGCAGAUUGCCUGAGCUCAGGAGUUCGAGACCAGCCUGGGCAACAUGGUGAAACACGUCUCUACUAAAAAAAAAAAAAAAAAAAAAAAAAAAAUUUGCUGGGCGUGACGGCAGGCGCCUGUAGUCCCAGUGGGAGUUUGGGGAGGCUGAGGCAGGAGAAUCACUUGAACCCGGGAAGCAGAGAUUGCAGUGAGCCGAGAUCGUGCCACUGCACUCCAAUCUAGCGACAGAGCAAGACUCCGUCUCAAAAAAAAAAAAAAAAAAAAAAGUGGAAGGUGAAAAAAACACGGAGAGACAGCAAAGCUGGCAAUGACAUAGCUCCAAAAAUCCCACUUCUCAGAUAAGAUGCAGGCAGUAAGGGCCUGGAGUUUUAUGUAUCCUGAUGUUUGAAAGGGCUUGGACAGGGCACUUCCUCCCUCCAUAGCUCUUCUGUCCUUAGGAAUCCCUCCCUUCUGGAGGGGAAGGGUGGGGGUUUUCCUGUUUGGUCCCCAGGGAAGGAAGUUCAGAGACAGAGGCCCACUCAGGGCCACCCCCUGGCCUGCACCCCUGAAAUGCAAUUUGGAUAAUAUGGAAAAUUACUAGGAAGAAAAAACGCUAUAAUCCCCCCACCUAGAGAUAACCAGGCGUUCUGGUAUAUACCUAUUGAGGACUUUUUUCCCAAGCAAAUACUCAGAAAGAGACUUCCUCCCAAUAGGCAUGAGAUCUUACUCCACGUGCAGUUUGUCUUAUCUUGAUUUUUUUCCAGUAAUCUUUUAAGAGUUUCCCAUGCCAUGUAGUCAUUCUUCAAAAACCCACUUUGAACAGCUGCGUAAUAUUCCGCUGUGGAGGAGUGCCCUGCAGUGUAGAGAAAUGAGUUAUUUACGCUGAAGUCUGUUAUUACAUGGACAUCUUCCCUUUUCUGACCCUGCAAUGACCACACUCAUAGGUGAGUCUCUCUGGAAAUCCUUGACUACCUCCUUAGGGUCCAUUCUUAGAAGUGGAAUUACUGGGUUAGAGGGCAUGAGUGCCUUGAGGGCGGCUGUCUCCCUCUACCUGCAUGCCUGCCAGGGCAAACCCGUGCAUGCUCCCAGGACAGGCCUGGCAGGGCGUGUCUCCCUGCUGCACCCUUGGUACCCUUGGCAGGGCUAACAUUAUCCUCUAAACCAGGUCUUUGCAGCACUUACCCUUUUCAAGGUGCUACUGUACCUCUCCUUUAAGGAG
rnacentral:lncRNA from 1 species